rnacentral:rRNA from 1 species
UGCCAGCCGCCGCGGUAACACGGGGGGCGCAAGCGUUAUUCGGAAUUAUUGGGCGUAAAGCGCACGUAGGCGGACUGGAAAGUAUAGGGUGAAAUCCCGGGACUCAACCCCGGAACUGCCUUGUAAACUCCUGGUCUUGAGUUCGAGAGAGGUGAGUGGAAUUCCGAGUGUAGAGGUGAAAUUCGUAGAUAUUCGGAGGAACACCAGUGGCGAAGGCGGCUCACUGGCUCGAUACUGACGCUGAGGUACGAAAGUGUGGGGAGCAAACAGGAUUAGAUA